rnacentral:tRNA from 1 species
CUGGGGCUAGGGCUCAGUGGUAGAGUGCUCGCCUAGCAUGUGCGAGGCUCUGGGUUUGAUCCUCAGCACUACA